UACGGAGGAUCCGAGCGUUAUCCGGAUUUAUUGGGUUUAAAGGGAGCGUAGGCGGCCCGUUAAGUCAGGGGUGAAAGACGGUGGCUCAACCAUCGCAGUGCCUUUGAUACUGACGGGCUUGAAUACACCUGAGGUAGGCGGAAUGUGGCAAGUAGCGGUGAAAUGCAUAGAUAUGCCACAGAACACCGAUUGCGAAGGCAGCUUACUAAAGUGUGAUUGACGCUGAGGCUCGAAAGCGUGGGGAUCAAACAGG
rnacentral:rRNA from 1 species